rnacentral:misc_RNA from 1 species
GGAAUCAUACCUGGGCUUAAGGUAAGAGGAACAGACUAUAAGACAGCAGACGGUACCUGCAUAAGGGAUUAUAUAGACGUGACCGAUCUGGUUGAUGCUCAUGUUAAAGCUCUUGAGAAGGCUAGGCCAGGGAAAGUUGGGAUCUACAAUGUUGGAACAGGAAGAGGCAGAUCAGUGAAAGAAUUUGUGGAGGCUUGUAAGGUAGCAACUGGAGUACCUAUCAAAGUUGAGUUCCUUCCCCGUAGGCCUGGUGAUUAUGCAGAAGUUUACAGCGAUCCAACUAAGAUUAGGAAUGAACUGAACUGGACAGCCAAAUACACUGAUCUUCAACAGAGUUUGCAGAUUGCAUGGAGAUGGCAGAAGUCACAUCUUAAUGGUUAUAGUUUAUCGGUGGCAACAUCCUGAUGACGCCUCUAUCAACUUAUGGUUGUUUAAGACUUGACUUGAACCUGGUGUCACAGCUGAACUUAACGUCGAACUAUUAGUAUCCAUAAAGUACAAUUUUCAAGGCCAAGAGGGGUAUGAUGUGUAUUGUGACAAUAGGCAGCAGUUUAUUUACCCAUUUGUUAUGUGUAUUUAGUAAAAGGGAUAUUUCAAAUCAAUAAUAGUUCCCAUUCAGGUAUAGCUUCCAUCUGUUUUACUUCCUUUUUUGUGUACA